GUCCAACUGAUGAGUCCAAAUAAGGACGAAACACGUGUGUCUUGGGC
rnacentral:hammerhead_ribozyme from 2 species